GAUGAACGCUGGCGGCGUGCUUACCACAUGCAAGUCGAACGGAAAGGCUCCUGCUUGCAGGGGUACUCGAGUGGCGAACGGGUGAGUAACACGUGGGUGAUCUGCCCUGCACUUCGGGAUAAGCCUGGGAAACUGGGUCUAAUACCGGAUAGGACCACAUUUUGGAUGGUGUGGUGGAAAGUUUUUCGGUGUGGGAUGAGCUCGCGGCCUAUCAGCUUGUUGGUGGGGUAAUGGCCUACCAAGGCGUCGACGGGUAGCCGGCCUGAGAGGGUGUACGGCCACAUUGGGACUGAGAUACGGCCCAGACUCCUACGGGAGGCAGCAGUGGGGAAUAUUGCACAAUGGGCGCAAGCCUGAUGCAGCGACGCCGCGUGGGGGAUGACGGCCUUCGGGUUGUAAACUCCUUUCGCUAGGGACGAAGCGUUUUUGUGACGGUACCUGGAGAAGAAGCACCGGCUAACUACGUG
rnacentral:rRNA from 1 species